UCCAUAUCGACGACAACGUCCUCCUCCUCGCCCUGUCGCCGCCCCUCCUCCCCCUCCCAGUCGCCCCCCUUUGCCCUCCCGCAGCAGAUCGAGCGCCGGCGCUGGUGUUCACCGCCUCCUUCUUGAGGCUGCCGUCCCGCAUGUCCAAGCAGCAGAAGCGCGACAGGGUGGACGCCAUCACCUCCUCCCCAUCCCCGGCCUCCUUCCGUGACGCAUCCCGCAGCGGCGCCCACCGCGGCGCCUGCCGGCCGCCCUCGCGGCUGGCUGCUUGCGCGGCAACGACGGCGGUCUCGUCGUCCCCGGAGGCCGCGGUGCCUCAAGGCCGACCUGGCGCCCCCUCCUCGCCCUUCCGCCACCUCUGAUCUGGGGUUCGGUUUGCGUGCAACGGCGGUGGCGUACGAGGCGAACAAGCCGCUGGUGGUCGAGGACGUGCAGGUGGCGCCGCCGCUGGCCGGCGAGUCUGCGUCAAGGUCCUCUCCACUGUGCUCUGCCACACCGUCUACUACACCUGGAGCGGCAAGGAUCCCGAGGGCCUCUUUCCUUGCAUUCUCGGUGACAAGGCUGUUGGCCGCUGUUGCAGAUGAUGAGCCUUUGGUUGUUCCGCUUGAUUGUGAAUGGAUAUGGCACUGCCAUCGGCUUAACUCGACUCGAUACAUAAAAGACCGCAAGAGAUUAUAUGGCAGGAUACUGGACCCUAACAUUGUCAAGUCUUCCAUUCAAGCAAAGUCCAAGGAUCGGUCCAAGAUGGAGUAGUUUGUCCUGCCUGUGCAAUGUUCUUUCCAGCAUAUCAGCUGUGUACUCUAAUUACUGGAGUAUUCUGUAGAUCUUUUCAAUUAAACUACUCCAGAGAUGAGUCUUUUCCAUUAACUAAAUCUAAAUGAAACAUUAGAUGAAACUUGCCAGAGGUUAAUUAAAUAUUGCAGUAACUAUUUGACACAAAUAUUGUCAUGCAUCAGUAGUAGCAUUAGAUGAAACUUUUAUAGUAGGACUUGCUGUUACAGUGGGACUUAUCUCUGUAAUUUAGCCAAACUUCAUGUCACCAUGCGACUAAUGUUUUUGCUCAGAAUUCUUUUCUGUUUGUGUGGUGCUAAACUGCCAAUAGAAGACGAGAUGUCUUGUUGAACAACGCCACAAUUGCAUUGUUGCAUGGUAUUUAGGGUUGUCCCAGUUGCAUAAGACCUGGAGUAAGAACAUGUCCAGUACUAAUUUUGUGUCUGUGGGCAUGUACAUGUGCACUUGGGCCUUCUAUAUACACAUAAUUCAGAGCAUCUUUUACUGUGCAUUUUGUUUCUUUGCUCAGUACAGAAUGUAUUGCAAGUGUUGUUCAUUAUUUUUUCCUUUUGUCUAAAUAUAUCACAAAAAGUUAUGUAUGGAGUAGUGAUUGUCUAAUGUCCUCUUAGGUUACCAAAUGGAUGAAGCGAAAUCUCGUGUGACCCCGUAGCGUAGCACGGGCAUCCUACUAGUUAGUAUGAUAUGUAUGUGUUAGGUUUGUCCAGUCCAUCAAUGUCGGUAAAUGUGUUAUGGUCUGUGAAUGUGUAUAGAUUUUUUAAAUUUUGUUGGCUGUUGCAACACUUGGAUUAUUUAUUAGUAUAACCCAGCAGCGAUGCUUCCAUUUUAACACAUGCACUAGUGUGCUAAAACUACUACUGUACCUGCUUCUUCUUAGCCUGAGUAGUACAUCAGGCUUGUAUUAACCUAUGUUAAUUGUAUUAACUUGUAGCCUAGUCACUGCAGUCAUCUUGUGCUUUUAUCUUCUCUGUGAUGUCAUGUGCCUUUGAGUCUACUUAUUGAAGACCUUAUGCUCAUAUAUCUUUUUAAUCCCUCUAUUUCCAUAAAUGUGACACUGUUUUGUUUCUAAAUACUUGACACAUACAAGUUUGAGGAAAUUAUCCUAAACCCCUGCUAUGAUUGAUCCAUCUCCUCUACUUUCUUACUUGUUCUUAAUUGAGAUGUUACUCAAGGGUAGUGUUUCUGCCAGCAUAUAUAAAUGAUAUGGUCGCUUACUUUAAUAUGUGUGUUGACUCAAAACUGUCAAAAUAUCUAGAAAGAGAGUGAACUCACUUCACAGAUUCUUUCAAUCUUUAAUGGUUAUGGUUUUUGCAUUAUAGAUUCUUAAUCUCGGCUGAUUCCAGAUUCUGCCAAGUGCUAGCUAGCUCCAAAAGCAAAUGUCUUCAUUUGGAAGAUGCAGCAUUCUAUCAGAAUCCAUUCUCCUGCUCUUUUUCUUGUACUGUAUGUCAUCCAUUGUUCAAACCUGUUGGCAUGUUCAUGUAGUGUGUCGUUCUGUUCAGAAGUGCAUUUUUAUUUUAGGAUUUGCUUCCUGUGUGGUACUGGAUGGCUGAGUAUUAAAACAAUUUGGUUACUAUCAGAAGCAGUUUAAUUCUCUGGAAUUAAACUUUGACAAGCAUGCAUAUAUGUGUUCAAUUUUUUUGGAUUACGUGAUGGCAUUCUACGAUUCUGUUUAACAACUUCCGUAUUAUCUUCUUAUUUCUCUUGUCCUCGUGCGGCAGGAUUUGAUUCGGUACAAGGGGUUCAUCGUGCCAGGCUCCUCUUUUCUGCUGCUUCCAUGCAACGGUGGUAGCGGUGGUGCUGUUUGGCAUUGGCUACAAAAAACACCCACGGUUUUCAAGGGGGUUUCGUUUAUGAUAGCCAUGGAGCAGGAAAACCGGCAUGCUACUAAAGCUAAGAUGGUUAUGAGAAGAUAUGCUGCUGGAAAGAUGCUCUUAGCAAACUGGAAGGGCUGCAACCAAAUCCAAUCGACAACAUGGCAGUGGUCUCUGAAUAUCUAAGCUAGUGAUCAUCUUUUUAGCGAUUCCUUUUCUGUUUGGCCUUCUCAUAGGUAGUGUACAUUAGUUGUUUGUUGGAGUUGUGAUGGCAGUAUAUCUUUUUUGUUGCUUCGCUGUCGUUUGAUAUAGAUGGCAUUCUUUUAGUUGCUGCUGCUUAUGUAUAGAUAAUCUGAUGAAGAUGUAACUGUAAGAGAUGAUAUAUGAUUGUACGGCGAAACAAAUAUUGCUUUGAUAGCAAAAUAAAAAAAACUCAUCUA